rnacentral:rRNA from 1 species
GACGAACGCUGGCGGCGUGCUUAACACAUGCAAGUCGAACGGAAAGGCCCUGCUUUUGUGGGGUGCUCGAGUGGCGAACGGGUGAGUAACACGUGAGUAACCUGCCCUUGACUUUGGGAUAACUUCAGGAAACUGGGGCUAAUACCGGAUAGGAGCUCCUGCUGCAUGGUGGGGGUUGGAAAGUUUCGGCGGUUGGGGAUGGACUCGCGGCUUAUCAGCUUGUUGGUGGGGUAGUGGCUUACCAAGGCUUUGACGGGUAGCCGGCCUGAGAGGGUGACCGGCCACAUUGGGACUGAGAGACGGCCCAGACUCCUACGGGAGGCAGCAGUGGGGAAUAUUGCACAAUGGGCGGAAGCCUGAUGCAGCAACGCCGCGUGCUGGAUGACGGCCUUCGGGUUGUAAACCGCUUUCGCCUGUGACGAAGCGUGAGUGACGGUAAUGGGUAAAGAAGCACCGGCUAACUACGUG